rnacentral:lncRNA from 1 species
AGUAAAUGCCCUAUCAGUCCAUGUCCUUAUCUGAGUCAUACUCAUCCCCCUCCCGUGCAUCCUCAAAAUCAUCAUCCUUCAGGUCAUCCUCAUCUCUGCCUGGUGCUCCAGCUAGUCCUAACUCGUUGCCCUGUGCCUGCUCCUGAGGCCAAGCCAUCGUACUAUGGAACUCGUCCAUAGUCCACCUGUGCACUGGUAGUGUGUCAUACAAUCCUAUAAUCAUCUCUGCAUUAGCU